UUGUAAUUUUAUAUCCUCCCUUCAGUAGCUUCUGGGAAAUUUCGAAUUUUAAAUCCUUUUUACUUUCAGAGAGCUAAUUGUAUGCAAAGAUAUCGUCCGCCGAGACACAGAAGAAAUAGACUGUCCGCUGUGACGCCAUUCUAGCUGCAGACCGCCAAGUCAAAGAUUAAGAGCUGCCUAGCUCCUGCUGCAGAGCUGCCACGCUCCAUCUAACCAUCUCCUUUAGAUUCCUUGAGAGUCCAAGCCGACGCAACCACUAAGCAUUUCUGACCGAAUCUGAAGUAUUUGUUCAUCUUCUCACAAUGCCAGUUAACUACAAAACCGCAAGCCAAGCUGAGUUAGACAUAGAAAGAGCAGCAGUAAACCUAUCACUUCACAAGCAAACGGCAGACAGCUCCUGGAGCAAAAUUUCUAAAUCCGUCGCCUCUGAUCUCCUAAAUGUCAAGACUGAGAUGGAAGACCUUUACAGGCUUUUGGCCUCCGCCGACCUUGCAGCUCUAACUGGACAGCAGAAAGCUGAUUUUUUAUUGAAGCUUAAUUCUUCAACU